AGAUAUUUGGAACUAUAUACAGUUGCCAGUUGAUAUUUUCUAGUCUUUGCUCAAUAUUAUAUUAUCCCCUUUUUCAGAUAAUUGAAGAUAUCCUAAAGACCAGCCCUGGAGGUGAAAAGAUUGCAAGUGAAUACGCUCGCACUAAAAGUCUGUCAGAUGGCCGAAGACGUGACAUGGUGAAAAUCUUGGUAGCACAUUUGACAAAUGAACAUGGGCCUUCGCGACACUUGAAGGAACAAUAUGCAAAGGGAAUCAUCUCCCUCUUCCCAAAUUUGGCUGACCCCAGGAGCAAACUUGGCUAUGGGCAUUAUUACAAUGCAGAAGAUGGAAGUGGAUUUUGGCAUGGAGAAUUAAAACUCUGCAAAAAGAAGCAUUGGAGGGUCGGAUGAAAUGCAGGCGCCACCACAAACAGGUGCAAGAUUUGAUGUUUAAUCAGUGCUUGGCUGCAAGGCUUGAUUAACAUGUUUUUUUUUUGCAACUUUAUUUAAAUAUUUUACUCAUCUUUACAUUUGUGACUUAUAUUUAAAGUAUUCUUUUGUUCUAUAGUGAGAAUGAGGUCACAUGUUAUAGUAUCUCAACAAAAUAUAAUUGCUUUUCUUUUUGAAUGUGAAAAGUUUUUCAUAAUUUCUAAAAAAUAAAUAAAUAAAUAAAUAAAAAUAAAAAAUACAGCUGACGAGGCAGUGGUAAAGGAAAAGAUGAUGUUAACACUGACCUAUCGCCAGAAGCUGCUUCAUGACCCUAAAGAGUCAACUGAUAUUCUCAAUUUUCCCCCGAUUCCAGGAUAUACCAGGCUUGGUAUGU